ensembl:misc_RNA 7SK 7SK RNA
GGAGUUCGAGACCAGCCUGGCCAACGUGGUGAAAUCCUCUCUACCCAAAAUACAAAAAUUGAUUUGGCUGAUCUGGCUGGCUAGACGGGUGUCCCCUUACUCCCUCAAUGCUCCAAGUGUGUCCGUCCCGACCCUCCCGAAGCUGCGCAGUGUGUCAAAGAGGACAACCAUCAACGACAGAGGACCAGUCUUCCUUUAACGGUAUGUGUAGCUGGUUUUCCAUUAAAACCUCCAAACAAUCUCUCAAAAAUGCAAAUUAUCAGUACUCAUUCCAAACUUAGGAAAUUAGAAAACCUGGCAGGGAGCCAGCAAUGCUUU